rnacentral:rRNA from 1 species
GUGAACGUUGGCGGCGUGGAUUAGGCAUGCAAGUCGAGCGAGAACCGUAGCAAUACGGGGACAGCGGCGAAAGGGACAGUAAUGUGUAGGUACCUACCCCGAGGUCUGGGAUAGCUGCGGGAAACUGCAGGUAAUACCGGAUAAUGUCUUCGGACCAAAGGUGUGAUUCCACCUUGGGAGGGGCCUGCAUCCUAUUAGCUUGUUGGCGGGGUAACGGCCCACCAAGGCGACGAUGGGUAGCGGGUGUGAGAGCACGACCCGCGUCAUUGGGACUGAGAUACUGCCCAGACACCUACGGGUGGCUGCAGUCGAGGAUCUUCGGCAAUGGGCGCAAGCCUGACCGAGCGACGCCGCGUGCGGGAUGAAGGCCUUCGGGU